AUACAAUGAUGAUAACAUAGUUCAGCAGACUAACACUGAUGAGCAAUAUUAAGUCUUUCGCUCCUAUCUGAUGUAUCUGGCGGUAACAUUCUAGUUUAUGCCCUGAAAAGGGGAAUAUAGCCAUUCUAUAACGUUUGGAGAUUUUGGAUUACUCCUAAUUGUAUGCAAGUUGUCUUACUGUGUAUUGUCCCUUAAUUUCAGGACUCAGAAUUCAUGCUUGAAGAAAUGCAGGCAGACCUGUUAUCCUAAACUAGGGUUUUUAAUGACCACGACAAGCAAGCAUGCAGCUUACUGCUUGAAAGGGUCUUGCCUCACCCAAGCUGGAGUGCAGUGGCCUCUGAAGCUUACUACAGCCUCAAACUUCUGGGCUCAAGUGAUCCUCAGCCUCCCAAUGGUCUUUGUAGACUGCCUGAUGGAGUCUCAU
rnacentral:sRNA from 1 species